rnacentral:rRNA from 1 species
CCUACGGGUGGCAGCAGUGAGGAAUAUUGGUCAAUGGACGGUAGUCUGAACCAGCCAUGUCGCGUGAAGGAAGACGGCUCUAUGAGUUGUAAACUGCUUUUGUAUAAGGGUAAACCUGAAUACGUAUAUUGAUCUGCAAGUACUGUACGAAUAAGGAUCGGCUAACUCCGUGCCAGCAGCCGCGGUAAUACGGAGGAUCCAAGCGUUAUCCGGAUUUAUUGGGUUUAAAGGGUGCGUAGGCGGGUUGAUAAGUCAGAGGUGAAAUGUCCGAGCUUAACUCUGGAACUGCAUCUAAUACUGGUGACCUAGAGAGCAGAUGCGGUAGGCGGAAUGUAUGGUGUAGCGGUGAAAUGCUUAGAGAUCAUACAGAACACCGAUUGCGAAGGCAGCUUACCAAUCUAUAUCUGACGCUGAGGCACGAAAGCGUGGGGAGCAAACAGGAUUAGAUACCCCAGUAGUC